GGGGGGCAGCCGAGGGCCGCGCCGCCCCGGCCCUCCAGGCUCACUGCUCCGCGUGCGGGCGCCCGCAGCCCAAGCCGGGGCUGACGAAGGGAGGGGCUCACGCUGGCCGCGGGCCUGGACGCCAGCCUGGUCCUGAUUUGCCCGCCCCUCCCUUCAUCCCGCCAGAGGCUCCGCCCUUCUCGUGAGAGCUUGGGGACCCCCACCCCAAUCUGCUUCCGUUCCCCAACUUCCUACCUCUCGCCCAGCGCGGUCACCCUGGGAGCCCCGGUCUGUCUGGGGAGCCGCCCCAGGCUGCCUGCUCUGUGCUCACCGCUAGGUGUUGUUCCUGGCGCUGCCCCUCCGGCAGAGGGAGGACAGGGCAGGCCCAGGGGCAGCGCCGGAGCCGCCUCGGGUCAGGCCAGCACUGGGGAGGCAGAGCUGACGCCUGCGGGGGCCUCGGAGGAGAGGGAAAACCAGCUUCUCAGUCCGGAAACAGCUUCCCCUGCCAGUGGGCACCUCUGUGGCCCCUCGCCCAGGCUGGAAGCUGGGGGUUGGUCUUGGGAAGACCAUGGGCACAUGGGGGAGCCGCGGAGGCCAGGGUGCAGUCAGGGGGACUAAGCCUCCCUGCUGGCAGCUCCAGGCUGGGAAACUGAAGGAGGCUGGGGCUCCGAGUUCGGCCGGGGAUCUCGUCUAGAAGAAAGGUAAGAGUAGACACCUCCUCGGAGGCACACCCCACCCUCGCACUGAGCCCCCUUUUUUAUAUUGUUCUUUUGAGACAGGAUCUCACUAAGUCCCUAGCUCGCCCAGGCUGGACUCAAACUUACAAUCCUCCUGCCUCAGCCUCCCAGAGUCUGGGAUUACAGGCCUGUACCACUGCACUGGCAAGGAGAUCUUCUCCAGCCCUUCCUGAGCAGAACGGCAGAGAGAAUGGUGGACCCAAGCCCUGGGGGUGGCGCUGAGAGCCCAGCAGAAGGGAGCCGGCCUUAGUACCAGGACAGUCUGGGGAGUGCCAGGCUGCCCCUUGUCUGUCACCCUGGACCUGCUGUUGGCUCCAAGGACGCUGGGGCUCGGAGGAUCCAGGAUCUGAGGCAGGCAGCCCUCCCCCGCCUCCCCCACCCUAGACAGCGCUCCAGAACUGCUGAGAUGAAUCUCCGGAGCUUCGUGGUUCUGGCCUGUGUUCCUGAUUAAAGUCCCUGGGUGGCCUGCACCACAAAUCACAGAGUCUGCUCUGGGAGAGCUGCAGGUUGGGAGCCAACAGCGGGGCCGGGGCCCUGUUACACAGGCACACUCCCCGAGCGGUGUGGGCGUGGACGCCAUACUGGAAGAUGUUCCUCGGUGUUGUCCCACGGAGGUGCUGGCCCCCUCUCCAGGCAGCGUGUGGCCCUGUCCUCCACGUGGUCUUCCAGGAGCCCUGUGCCCACUUUGUAGUGGGCUGCACUGCAGACUGGCUCUGUUGGUCCUUGUGUCUUCCAUCUGGCAGGAGGGCGAGCUGUGUUCGCACGGGAGGUAUCUCAAAUGUCGCUCCUCUCUGCCACGUUGACCUCUAGGUCUUACCCCGGCAGCAGUCUUAUGGGUCAAGGGCAGCUCGGGCAGAGCUCCCAGAGCGUCCACGCUCAGCCCAGGAGCACAGCUGACCUUUCCCUGCCCCCUUCCCACAGCCUGACUUCCAUUCUCAUCUGGGACACAACUGGGUACAGAGUGGGCACAGCUGGGCCAGAAGAGACACAGCUGAGGAACCAGGAGGACAAAAGCUCGCUUGUACACAGGCCCUGAGAAGCAGCCCCUUCCCUACCCUGGCGAGGUGGGCUUCCUGCCCGCCCCUCAUGCACAUUCAUAACAUUCAAAUUUAUGCCGUAAUCUCCGCCGCUCCAUAUGUAUGAGCCUUUGACGGGUGUUUGGGUGUAUGGGAUGCACCCGGCCCUCCUUCCCUCACCCGCCCACCGCCUCCAACCGCUGCAAAGAUGCUUGUACAUAAUUGACAUCGGCAGAUUCUUUCAUUAUACAAGAUUUAGCAUCUGCUCGGGGAUGCUUGCUCCUCACUCACUGUAGAUGACUUUCCCCGCGUUUCCUAUUAUCAAUUCAAAUUAGCCCCAUUUCCCCACCCGACCAGCGCAGCAUCUACACUCGACAGUGAGGAAACAGCAAGGCUGUAAUGGGCUCCUCAAUUAUUUAGGCCCAGUUAGACCAGGGCCUAGGAGGCCUCAACAGGGGUGUGCUGGGGUGGGGUCCUGCAGGAGGAACAGGGCAGUGGCUCCUGGGAUAGACCCCCACCCCUCACAUCCGGGUGUCUAAAGGCUGAGCAGCCCCCUCCCCAGAUUUGCUGGACAGGAGCCCCCAAUGGGAUGCUAGCAAUAAACCAAAGUAGCCAUGACUGGUAGCAGCUGGGCCUCCCCUAAGAUGUCUCUCCACGGUAGGGGGGUCCCCAUGAAGGUGUGAGGGCGGCCCCAGAUCCCAGAGACCGGCGAAAGGGAUGGAAAUCAAGUGCCUGACCCCAGGAAAGCAAGAGACCUCGAGCUGGAGAGAUGCUGGAGAGCCCAGGGCCUUAGGGACGAAGCAGGGCCUUGGGAGAGGAGGCCCCAAGCCGAGGGCCCUGGGGGAGCUCCUUCCUGCAGCCACAGGGCCCUGCGGGCUGCACAGAGCUGUAACUAGGUCAGCGCUGCCUCCCUGCUGCUCUGACUCCGCCAGGCCCAGCCUCCUGCAAUAACUCUUGGGCCCAGUGGCUAGUCGGGGAUCUUGGCCUCUCCUGAGCCCUCUAAAUGCCCCAGUACAAGGGCACAAACUCCAAGCCAGCCCUGAGAUUCCAAACCCGGAUCCUCUGGAGCCAGCUCAGCUCCUCCCAGCCCUGCGCUCCGCCCAUGGCCACGCCUCGCGCUCCUCCCCUCCGCGUUGCUCUCCUCUCCAGGGCUGUGCCGGGGGAGCAGGCGGGCAGGGGUCGGGGGCUCUGGGAUUGGAAGAGCCUUUCCCAUGUUCAGCCUCAGCAGAACCCACAAAUUCCUCCACCUGAUUGGAUUUACCCUAAGUCGCAGGCAUGUGGGACCUCCUUUCCCCCAGCAACAGCUGGAAACAGCCCUAAAUAUGAUUAAUUAACACUGUAAAAAGCCCCGACACAAUUAAGAUU